rnacentral:rRNA from 1 species
GGGAUAUUGGGCAAUGGGGGCAACCCUGACCCAGCCAUGCCGCGUGAGGGAAUGAGGCCCCAGUGGUCGUGAACCUCUUUUGCGCGGGGACAAGGACGCGGUCGCGAACCGUGUUUGAGGGUACCGCGCGAAUAAGCAUCGGCUAACUCCGUGCCAGCAGCCGCGGUAAUACGUAGGUGGCAAGCGUUGUCCGGAUUUAUUGGGCGUAAAGCGAGCGCAGGCAGUUUUUUAAGUCUGAUGUGAAAGCCUUCGGCUUAACCGGAGAAGUGCAUCGGAAACUGGGAGACUUGAGUGCAGAAGAGGACAGUGGAACUCCAUGUGUAGCGGUGGAAUGCGUAGAUAUAUGGAAGAACACCAGUGGCGAAGGCGGCUGUCUAGUCUGUAACUGACGCUGAGGCUCGAAAGCAUGGGUAGCGAACA